rnacentral:rRNA from 1 species
AUUGAACGCUGGCGGCGUGCCUAACACAUGCAAGUCGAGCGGUAACAGGUGUAGUAAUACAUGCUGACGAGCGGCGAACGGGUGAGUAAUGCUUCGGAAUCUACCUUAUGGUGGGGAAUAACUAGCCGAAAGGUUAGCUAAUACCGCAUACGUCCUACGGGAGAAAGCAGGGGAUCGCAAGACUUUGCGCCAAAAGAUGAGCCGAAGUCGGAUUAGCUAGUUGGUAGGGUAACGGCCUACCAAGGCGACGAUCCGUAGCUGGUCUGAGAGGACGACCAGCCACACUGGGACUGAGACACGGCCCAGACUCCUACGGGAGGCAGCAGUGGGGAAUAUUGGACAAUGGGGGAAACCCUGAUCCAGCGACGCCGCGUGUGUGAAGAAGGCCUGCGGGUUGUAAAGCACUUUUAGUGGGGAUGAAAUGUGCAGGGUUAAUACCUCUGCAUUUUGACCUAACCCACAGAAAAAGCACCGGCUAACUCUGUGCCAGCCGCCGCAGUAA